UACGAAGGGGGCUAGCGUUGCUCGGAAUCACUGGGCGUAAAGGGUGCGUAGGCGGGUUUUUAAGUCAGGGGUGAAAUCCUGGAGCUCAACUCCAGAACUGCCUUUGAUACUGAAGAUCUUGAGUCCGGGAGAGGUGAGUGGAACUGCGAGUGUAGAGGUGAAAUUCGUAGAUAUUCGCAAGAACACCAGUGGCGAAGGCGGCUUUCUGGCCCGUUCUUGACGCUGAGGCGCGAAAGCUAGGGUAGCAAACGGG
rnacentral:rRNA from 1 species